GUCCAGACUCCUACGGGAGGCAGCAGUGGGGGAUAUUGCACAAUGGGGGAAACCCUGAUGCAGCGACACCGCGUGGGUGAGGAAGCGCUUCGGCGUGUAAAGCCCUAUCAGUGGGGAAGAAAAAGGACGGUACCCAAAGAAGAAGCACCGGCUAACUCCGUGCCAGCAGCCGCGGUAAUACGGAGGGUGCGAGCGUUAAUCGGAAUUACUGGGCGUAAAGCGCUCGUAGGCGGUAUGUCAAGUCAAGGGUGAAAUCCCCGCGCUCAACGUGGGAACUGCCUUUGAAACUGGCAAACUGGAGUGUGUGAGAGGAUAGUGGAAUUCCAGGUGUAGGAGUGAAAUCCGUAGAUAUCUGGAGGAACAUCAGUGGCGAAGGCGACUAUCUGGCACAUAACUGACGCUGAGGAGCGAAAGCGUGGGUAGCAAACAGGAUUAGAUACCCGUGUAUC
rnacentral:rRNA from 1 species